UUCAAUAGAUUUCUUCUUUAAUCCAGAUGUGAUUUAGAAGCAUAUUUCUUAAUUUCCAAACACAUGGGGGCUUUUUUUCAGGGGAGGGGGCAGGGUCUUGCUCUGUCACCCAGGCCAGACUCCUCGGCUCAAGCCAUCCUCCUGCCUCAGCCUCCUGAGUAGCUGGGACUGUAGGUGCACACCACCAUGCCUGGCUAAUUAUACAUACAUACAUACAUACAUAUAUAUAUAUAUAUAUAUAUUUUUUUUUUUUUUGUCGAGAUGGGGGUCUCGCUGUGUUGUCCAGGCCUGUCUUGAACUCCUGGCCUUAAGUGAUUCUCCCACCUUGGAGUCCCAAAGUGUUGGGAUUACAGGCAUGAUCCACCUUGUUAUCUUUUUAUUGCUGAUUUAUCUUUCAGUGGUUUUGCAAGCUAGGGAUGUAUGCAGAAAAAAAGGUAAGUAGAGUCAUUUCCAUGAAGCAAAGCCAUGAAGGGUACAAAAGAGAAUUAUUACCUUCAAAGCUUUAGUUGUGAAGAUAGAUGACCCCAAUGAGGGCGACACUAGUGGGGAGAGGUAAAAUCCUAAAGAAUUAACAGAGUGGUAGGCAAACUGAUAAGGGUGCUCUCCCACCGAACGAUUUUUCUGGAGGUCAAUUUGGCAGUUGUAUCAAAAAUUUUUAAAAAGCCUACCCACUGAGCUAGGCUUUUAAGGAAUACACCUUAAAGAAAUAUUUAGAAUGGUACAAAGAUUUUCCUACAAGGGUGUUCUUCACAGUACUAUCUAUAAUAUAGAGAAUGUAGAAAGAUCCUAACUGUCCAACAUUACUGAAUUAAAAGAGUCAUAUUGUAUACUCAUACAAUGGGAUUCAACCACUACAAAUGGUAUUUCAGAAAUAUAAUUAUUGAUAUAAAAGGUGAUAAAAAUAUACCAUUGAAUGUUUAAAAAAGGAACUAAAGAGCUAAACAUAGUAUAAUCCAAGUUUUGGGGAAAAAAAGGACACCCAUAUAUUUACUAUAAAAGAAGAUUUGGAAAAUUAUGCCCCAAAUUGUUGGCAGUAGUUGGUGGGGCCAAUCAUUUUAAUUUUCUUUUCGUUCAUCUGUGCUUUUUUUUUUUUUUUCCCCCUACAAUAGGCAGAUGGGAAGGUAUGUGGGCAGCUUGAGAAGAAGUGCACCUGCCUUCCUUUGUAAUGGCUGGGGGCCUUUGUCAACCAAGUUGAUGUAUAUGACCUCAGGUUCCAGUUCUUUGGAAAAUCCAACCUGGGAUGGGACAGGGCAGGACCCUGACUUCUCACUCCUCUUGCUUUCAGCCAAGCUGCUUGCUAACCUUGACAUGGGCAAGGCUGGGGGCCUCAUGUCUCAGACUCUCUCUCUGUUGUACUUUAAAACUCUACCCUUGAUCAAGUCCCGCCUCUUCUGUAAAGCAAUCUCUCUCUUCUGAAAAAUAUCUAAAGCUAUGUUUUUUAUUUUAUUUUAUUGUUUGUGUGUGUCUGUUUCCCCUGUGAAAAGGAAGAAGAAGUAAGGCUUUCUUUGGGGGCUUACUAGAGAGAAUUCAAGAAAAUAUAAAUGGUCACAGAGGCAGAUAAUCCUUAGAAAGAGAUACCAAGAGGUCAGCUGUCUAGGUAUUCAUUUUCCCCUGAGACACAUAAUCUCUGUCCAAGCUGAAAGGUGUUUAUCUCUUUCUUGAGACUCUCCCACCAUUCAUACCCUUUGUGUAAAGGCAUCACUGUGGAUGCUUAAAAUCAGGAAUGUAUUUGUUUUUGCUUUAGCUGAAGUUGAGUUUUGUUUGCUUCACAUUAAGCCUGUUACAGUUUCUUGUAUGAUCACCGAAUAUGAGGAAUGUCUGAAUGAUCUCUUCUUUUUUUCUUUAAGUGGAGCUAGUACUUGAGGGCUGCCAUGCUAUUUCCUAGAUAUCUCUUCUGAAGACCAAAUCCCAGCAUCUGUCACCUUUCUUUCUAGGCUCUUUUCCACCUUGCAUAUUUCUUCUCAGAAUCCUUUCCAAUUUCUUCACUACUUCUUUUUUUCUUUUUUAAAACUGAGACAGGGUUUCGCUAUGUUGCCCAGGCUGGUCUCGAACUCCUGGGCUCAAGCGGUCCUCCCACCUCGGUCCCCCAAGUAGCUGGGAUUCCAAGUGCGAGCCCAUGUAUCUGGCAUUAUUUCUUCAUUUCUUUCAAAAGUCUGAAAUCCCUAACUAGACAUAGCUCUUGAAUAAUGGUUGGGUCAUUAAUGAAAAGGAUGCUACUUUUUAGUUUGCACACACACAUUAAGUUAACUUCCACCCACCAUUAAUAAAGUCCAAGACUGUUAACAUAGAAGCCGUAUAUUAAUCAUCGGUUAGCUCUGCUUUAAGGGCAUGAGGAUGAUGAUGACAGAUUAUCAGUCUUACUGAGUACUUGUAGUAACCAUAUCUUUUUAUUCUGUAUUUUGGAUGCAGACAUCUUCGGGUUAUCAGUCCUACUGAGUACUUGUAGUAACCAUAUCUUUUUAUUCUGUAUUUUGGAUGCAGACAUCUUCGGGCUUUGCAGACACUGGAGGGACUGCCCUUGCAGGGCUGGAUAACUCCUACAUACAGCAAACAACCUGCUGUCAGCCACCUCUCACACAAAACCAAGCGGGCUAGAGCCCACACCCAGGACACCUUCUUCAUCAGGCCUUUACACUUCUCGCCAUGAUUCCCCUGCCCUGGUCACCCUAGGGCUAGGUACCAGACAAUUAGGGACAGCCCCUACCUCCUAGCGCCAUCUGUAAUGAUUCAGACUAGCCACUUAUCCUAAUCCUGCUCAUCCUACUGCGCCUUCCUUCCUGUGGAAAACACCAUGGAGGCUCUUGGCAGUGUUUCCCCACAUCCCUCUCCCCUUCACUGACCCUGGCGCUUCCCCAUGUGUCCCCUGUAUGGUCCCCUGUAUGGCGUGGCAUGGGCCCUGUCUCUAGGGAUUUGUGAGUCCAGCACUCCCUCCUUAAUUGUCGUUUUGCUUUCCUCGUUUCAGUUACUUGCGUCAACUGCAGUAAAAGAAUAUUAAGAUAUUUUGAGAGAGAGAAGGGAAGCAAAGAGAGACCACAUUCACAUAAGUUUUAUUACAGUAUAUUUUAAUAAUUGUUCUAUGUUAUUAUUAUUGUCGUUAAUCUCUCAUUGUGCCUAAUUUAUAAGUUCAACUUUAUCACAGGUCUGGAUGUAUGGGAGAAAACAGUAUCUAAAAGGUUCGCAGUUUCAGGCAUCCCCAUGAGGCUAAGGGGGGACUACUGUGUAACAAACUUCUUCCUUCAUGACAGUCAUUUCCAGAUCUGUGUGUCUUAUGGUACCUGAUAAAAACAAAUCCCAAAUACCAUUAAAACAGCACUGACUUCAUACUAGGCACUCUAUGCUUUAUGUGGAUUGUGACAUUUACUUGUGACAAGGGCAAUACUGGGCAAAUCCUAUCAUUUCCCUGGUUUUAAGGCUGAAAAAACAGAGGCUUAGAGAGGUGUAGUGACUUGCUCAGAGUCCUCGCUGUAGCGUGGGGUAAAGCCAGGAUAUGACUUCACAUAGUUUAACUCCAGAACUUACACUGUCAUCUUGUUUUGUUUUUCUGCUUCUCUUGUGUGUCAAAAGAAUUCCUCCUUAGUUGUUCUCAUAUGGGGCAACCAUUAAAUUAGGCAGUGUAAAAAACAAGUUAUGCAGAAUAAAGUAGCACGAGCAAUCUACUCUGAAAUUAGUGUUUUCCCUCACUUUAGCACCUUUAGCUGACCCAGCUUCCUACCGCCCAGACAUUUUACAAAAUCUCUCUCUGCAGUUGCCUCCUGAUCUGGAUUAGGAGUCACACAAGAAAAUCAGUCUCAUGAGUCCAUCAUUUUUCCUCAUUUCUGACCAGAAGUAUUCUGCCCCAUUUGCUUCACCUUACUUAUUUCUAAAUCACUCUAGCUCAUUUAAACAAACAAACAAACAAACAAUGAAACUUACUGCAAGGGCACAGAAUAACUAUCAUUAAAGAUGUCUGUGUAAUUAUGCCAUAAGUUGCAAGGCCAACUCAUGAAGCAUUCUGUAUGUUCUUUGAGCAGUGGCACUGUGGCUCGAACCAAUGUCCAGCUUCCACACUAUCUGCUUGGAAGAGGAUUACCCUUAUUUGGAAGUCUGAGUUUUGAGGAUUUGGGGAAAGCAGGCACGCAAGCAGACACACCUUAUUCUCUACAGCAUCAUUUAUACCUCAACUAAGUCAGCUGAGCAAAUGCCUGCUGAAAAGUUCUGGGAGUGGCAUAGCUAAGAACCAGAAAGGCGAUCUUUCUUUUGGAUUAAGUCAACAGAGUCAUACCCACAAGGAGAACUAUCAAAUAUCAGAUGCGAGAGGUGAAGUCGGGUUAUAAGGUGAGAGCUGAGAAGGGAGAAACAGGAUUCUACAUAACACAUUGCAAAUGGUCACAACAAUCAAGACUAUAUCCAUAGAUGUCCCAGAAAUAAUAUCUGACUAUACAGAGCAGCAUUACCAAGCCACCAAGAAGUCUGCCUAGUAAUGACAAUGAUAACAACAGCUAACACUUAAACAAAACCUUUUCCAUCAGCAAAGCAUUUUAGAACCUCAAGCUACACUGUUCCCACCUGCAACUGUCUAAGGUAUUGGAGGUCAAGGACAGUCCAAGGCCAAGUCAAGGACCAUCAGGACACAGAGGAGUAACUUCUGAGGCAGCCCCCGGUGGUAACAUAAAAGCGUAAUAUGCAUCAGACAAGUGCCUUCGCUGUGAGAUGUUGGGGAACCAAGCCCAGUGGGGUGGCUGGCGUCAGCUCAGUGUUCCAGAAAAUUCAAACUAUUCACCACAACUUGCCCUGAUUUUGCCUUCACUGCUAUUCAAAGAGGCCUGAAGCAGUUACUGAAAGCAAUUCCAAGAAAUUGAGUUAAAAAAAGAAAAUUAAAGUUUAGAAAAAAAUCAUGUGAAUAAGUGUGUAGACUUACAAAUAAAUUCUGAAUGGAACAGAAUAUUUGGGGGGUUCAUAACCUUUGGUAUAUUUGUUUUAAAAACCAGCCGCACCUCAAACACACCCACCAACAAUGAGACGAAUGGCUAGCACUUAUGAGGAAUUAUUAUUCAUUUAAAAUACCCUUUAAACUAUGUCACAAAGAUAAAUUUGUUUAGUCCUUACCUGUCCCCAAGCUUCAAAAUAAACCAUAAUAUUUCUAUUGAAGCCAGUUUCUUGUUCUUGGAAUCAGCUUUGUGAGUUGUCAGUUAGGCUAGAUGAGCUGAUUAGUAUGGAACUUAACACUGUCAGUAGCAAAACAGGUGCUCUAUCAGAGAAAUAUCAGUCCAUUUUAGGAAUGUUUUUGAGAGUGAACUGUGGUAUCUAUGAGAGAAAAAUCAAGCCUUUUCCCUCUUCCGGUCUGCUACGGUAAAUGGUGUGACACAAGGAUGUUUCACUGCCCAAUUAGCGUGGUCCAUUUUAAAGUGAAUCUGUUAUUUUCCUUUCCUUCCUCAUUCUUGACUUUUAGACACUGCAAGUUAACCUCAAAGAAUGUCUUCUUUGGGCAUAAUUUUACAAAUAUUCUUUAAGAUCCUUUAUCACAUUUCAAAGCACUUUGCGAAAACAAAAUGUCCUCAGUGGGGCAGGUGAGAUCUCAGGAAUAGUGAUAGAAUUCAUUUUAAAUAAGUCUGUGUGAUUUUUCUACUGUAUCAUUUCAGGGACUUUGCUUAAAGAGGCUUUAAGGAAGAACUUAAAAUGGAGAAAGCCAACUUUUGAACGUGGUGAUCAGGUUGCCUUCAGUCUCUUCUACGUCAGGGAGUCAAGGGGCUGUGGAACCAUCCGUUCCACCUGCUACAUGCUUUCUCACCCUUCUCCUAACCUGACAAAUACUAUGUGGCAUCUCCAUCAUGGUUGACAUUGCUAGGCCCUACCUUAUUCAACUCUAACUGAAAAAUGGAGAGCAAGAAAGGAUUAUGUAAGAAAAAAUGAAAAACUUUGAGGGCCAACUAACAGAUUUCCUAAACUAAUGAUGUAUUUUAAUAUUCCAGGGAUUUGAUUUAGGAAAAAUUGUUAUUUGGAUGGAUGCUUGUCUAUUGAGAGAGUAAUUGUUAAACUAAAGGAAACUGGUCACAAAUACUUUAGCAAUGGCUAUAAAUGACCAGUGGGCCAAGGAUUUUGAGAUCGUGAGAGACUUCUCCAGGAAUGUUGUCAUUCAUUUCACUCCAGUGUGGCUCUUUUCCUCCAUCUGCGGCUCAAGGACACUAGGAGAAAGACAUAAAUAGAAGUAUAUAUUAUCAUCUAGAUGGUGACUCUCCAAGGGGAUGAUGAGGGAACAGAAGUAAUGCUACCCUAAUUCUGAAAUAAUAAAAGCUCAAGCAAUGAAUGGCUGAAUUCACACCUCAAAAUUUCAUGGAAGACAGGCAUCCAAAAAUAAGCUUUCAAAACUGAAUGAACUCAUUACCACAAUUAAAGAAAACAAAAAGAAACAUUUUGCAUAACUGCUGGUUUUGCUGCUCCUUCUGCUAAUUUAGUUUGUCUGGAAGAGCCACUGUGUGGACCACCCAUGCUUCAAUGCACUUAACCAACACCUUUAGAAGAAAACAGGAUAGCUACAAAUGUGGAAACUCUACAGCAAGAACCAACACAAAUUAAAGUGUCUAAAAAAAUCAAUUGGGGCAGGCAUCUUCUUCUGAACUACAUUUACUAGAGCCUGCCACCCACAGAUGUCAAAGGAAUUCACAGGAUUAAAAGAAAAGGCUGGAGAAUGUACACUCACAGAGACCAGAGACUGACAUGAUCACUGCUGUCCCCUCGGCCGCCAGCAUCACAUCUGCGACAAUAAUGAGAUACUACACCAGCAUUUUCAAAAGAAAAAGGGGGCUGGUGUCGCAGUGUGGAAGCAGGCAGGUGGUCCUUCUCCACACCAGCCAGAGGAGGUCUACUUUCGUCUAUCCCACCAGACUAGAAUCUAAGCUGCACGAAGGCAGCAUUUGGUCUCCCCUGUUUGGAUGUCACCUCCAGAGCCUGGACGCUGGCAGAUACACACCAGAUGCUCAGUGCCUGAGAAAGGCCAUGUGCUAAACAGGAAGCACUGAUCAGCUUCCAGGGCACUGAAACCUUUACUUUGUGGCUGAAUAAAGCAACCUUGAAAAGA